rnacentral:rRNA from 1 species
CCUACGGGAGGCUGCAGUGAGGAAUAUUGGUCAAUGGACGUAAGUCUGAACCAGCCAUGCCGCGUGAAGGAAGAAGGAUCUAUGAGUUGUAAACUUCUUUUGUACAGGGGUAAAGCUAUACACGUGUAUUUAGUUGCAAGUACUCUAUGAAUAAGUAUCGGCUAACUCCGUGCCCGCAGCCGCGGUAAUACGGAGGAUCCAAGCGUUAUCCGGAUUUAUUGGGUUUAAAGGGUGCGUAGGUUGUUUGUUAAGUCAGCGGUGAAAGUUUGGGGCUCAACUCUAGAAUUGCCUGUAAUACUGGUAGUCUUGAGAGUGUAUGAGGUAGGCGGAAUGUGUGGUGUAGCGGUGAAAUGCAUAGAGAUCAUACAGAACUCCGAUUGCGAAGGCAGCUUACUAAUCUAUAUCUGACAUUGAGGCACGAAAGCGUGGGGAGCAAACAGGAUUAGAUACCCUAGUAGUC